rfam:Mucilaginibacter lappiensis strain ATCC BAA-1855 genome assembly, contig: Ga0104715_119
AUGGCGAAUCCUGAAAAGCCAUAAUAGAGUAAGGA